rnacentral:rRNA from 1 species
AACGCGAAGAACCUUACCAGGUCUUGACAUCCCGCUGCCCGGUGUAGAGAUACAUCUUUCCCUUCGGGGACAGCGGUGACAGGUGGUGCAUGGUUGUCGUCAGCUCGUGUCGUGAGAUGUUGGGUUAAGUCCCGCAACGAGCGCAACCCUUGAUCUUAGUUGCCAGCAUUUAGUUGGGCACUCUAAGGUGACUGCCGGUGACAAACCGGAGGAAGGUGGGGAUGACGUCAAAUCAUCAUGCCCCUUAUGACCUGGGCUACACACGUGCUACAAUGGACGGUACAGAGGGUUGCCAACCCGCGAGGGGGAGCCAAUCCCAUAAAACCGUUCCCAGUUCGGAUUGCAGGCUGCAACUCGCCUGCAUGAAGCCGGAAUCGCUAGUAAUCGUGGAUCAGCAUGCCACGGUGAAUACGUUCCCGGGCCUUGUACACACCGUAGUAC